rnacentral:rRNA from 1 species
UGUAACGGGGCUAAACCAUGCACCGAAGCUGCGGCAGCGACACUGUGUGUUGUUGGGUAGGGGAGCGUUCUGUAAGCCUGUGAAGGUGUGUCGUGAGGCAUGCUGGAGGUAUCAGAAGUGCGAAUGCUGACAUAAGUAACGAUAAAGCGGGUGAAAAGCCCGCUCGCCGGAAGACCAAGGGUUCCUGUCCAACGUUAAUCGGGGCAGGGUGAGUCGACCCCUAAGGCGAGGCCGAAAGGCGUAGUCGAUGGGAAACGGGUUAAUAUUCCCGUACUUGGUGUUACUGCGAAGGGGGGACGGAGAAGGCUAUGUUGGCCGGGCGACGGUUGUCCCGGUUUAAGCGUGUAGGUGUGUGUUCCAGGUAAAUCCGGUUCACUUUAACACUGAGGCGUGACGACGAGGCACUACGGUGCUGAAGCAACAAAUGCCCUGCUUCCAGGAAAAGCCUCUAAGCAUCAGGUAACAUCAAAUCGUACCCCAAACCGACACAGGUGGUCAGGUAGAGAAUACCAAGGCGCUUGAGAGAACUCGGGUGAAGGAACUAGGCAAAAUGGUGCCGUAACUUCGGGAGAAGGCACGCUGACACGUAGGUGAAGUGAUUUACUCAUGGAGCUGAAGUCAGUCGAAGAUACCAGCUGGCUGCAACUGUUUAUUAAAAACACAGCACUGUGCAAACACGAAAGUGGACGUAUACGGUGUGACGCCUGCCCGGUGCCGGAAGGUUAAUUGAUGGGGUCAGCGCAAGCGAAGCUCCUGAUCGAAGCCCCGGUAAACGGCGGCCGUAACUAUAACGGUCCUAAGGUAGCGAAAUUCCUUGUCGGGUAAGUUCCGACCUGCACGAAUGGCGUAAUGAUGGCCAGGCUGUCUCCACCCGAGACUCAGUGAAAUUGAACUCGCUGUGAAGAUGCAGUGUACCCGCGGCAAGACGGAAAGACCCCGUGAACCUUUACUAUAGCUUGACACUGAACAUUGAGCCUUGAUGUGUAGGAUAGGUGGGAGGCUUUGAAGUGUGGACGCCAGUCUGCAUGGAGCCGACCUUGAAAUACCACCCUUUAAUGUUUGAUGUUCUAACGUGGACCCGUGAUCCGGGUUGCGGACAGUGUCUGGUGGGUAGUUUGACUGGGGCGGUCUCCUCCUAAAGAGUAACGGAGGAGCACGAAGGUUGGCUAAUCCUGGUCGGACAUCAGGAGGUUAGUGCAAUGGCAUAAGCCAGCUUGACUGCGAGCGUGACGGCGCGAGCAGGUGCGAAAGCAGGUCAUAGUGAUCCGGUGGUUCUGAAUGGAAGGGCCAUCGCUCAACGGAUAAAAGGUACUCCGGGGAUAACAGGCUGAUACCGCCCAAGAGUUCAUAUCGACGGCGGUGUUUGGCACCUCGAUGUCGGCUCAUCACAUCCUGGGGCUGAAGUAGGUCCCAAGGGUAUGGCUGUUCGCCAUUUAAAGUGGUACGCGAGCUGGGUUUAGAACGUCGUGAGACAGUUCGGUCCCUAUCUGCCGUGGGCGCUGGAGAACUGAGGGGGGCUGCUCCUAGUACGAGAGGACCGGAGUGGACGCAUCACUGGUGUUCGGGUUGUCAUGCCAAUGGCACUGCCCGGUAGCUAAAUGCGGAAGAGAUAAGUGCUGAAAGCAUCUAAGCACGAAACUUGCCCCGAGAUGAGUUCUCCCUGAGACUUAGAGUCU